ensembl:snoRNA SNORA73 Small nucleolar RNA SNORA73 family
CCAACGUAGAUACCCCAGGGAGGUCACUCUUUUGAGCUCUGUCCGGGUGGCACAGGGGAGCAUAAGGUUCUACCCCAUGAGACACAAUCCUUUUCCAUAACGUUGGAGAUAAGCCUGUCCCUUAAGUCUAUACCUGCAUAUUCCUAUGGCUUUUCAGAGUCCUAUAGACAAUGACUGAGGCGAUAAACCACACAGGAAACAUGU